rnacentral:rRNA from 1 species
ACGUAGGGUGCGAGCGUUAAUCGGAAUUACUGGGCGUAAAGGGUGCGCAGGCGGUCCCGCAUGUCAGGCGUGAAAUCCCCGGGCUCAACUUGGGAAUGGCGCUUGAAACUACGGAACUGGAGUGUGGCAGAGGGAGGUGGAAUUCCACGUGUAGCGGUGAAAUGCGUAGAGAUGUGGAGGAACACCGAUGGCGAAGGCAGCCUCCUGGGCCAACACUGACGCUCAUGCACGAAAGCGUGGGGAGCAAACAGGAUUAGAUACCCUGGUAGUCCACGCCCUAAACGAUGAUGACUAGUUGUUGGAGGAGUUAAAUCCUUUAGUAACGCAGCUAACGCGAGAAGUCAUCCGCCUGGGGAGUACGGUCGCAAGAUUA